rnacentral:rRNA from 1 species
UACGUAGGCAGCAAGCGUUGUUCGGAGUUACUGGGCGUAAAGGGCGUGUAGGCGGCUAUUUAAGUUUGGCGUGAAAUCUCCCGGCUCAACUGGGAGGGUGCGCCGAAUACUGAAUAGCUUCGAGUGCGGGAGAGGAAAGUGGAAUUCCUGGUGUAGCGGUGAAAUGCGUAGAUAUCAGGAGGAACACCGGUGGUGUAGACGGCUUUCUGGACCGUAACUGACGCUGAGACACGAAAGCGUGGGUAGCAAACAGG